rnacentral:rRNA from 1 species
UACGUAGGUGGCAAGCGUUGUCCGGAUUUAUUGGGUUUAAAGGGUGCGUAGGCGGCUUUGUAAGUCAGUGGUGAAAUAUGGCAGCUCAACUGUCAGGGUGCCAUUGAUACUGCAGAGCUUGAGUACAGAUGAGGUAGGCGGAAUUGACGGUGUAGCGGUGAAAUGCUUAGAUAUCGUAAAGAACACCGAUAGCGAAGGCAGCUUACUGGGCUGUAACUGACGCUGAGGCACGAAAGUGUGGGGAUCAAACAGG